AUGCUGCUUGUUAUGAAGGAUGAGGUGAGCUUCAUGAAGAUGAGUAGGCGAGUGGCUGAUAUAGAGAGCUCCUCGAAUGGGGAAGUAGCAUUGUUGGAGGAACUCGAAGAUGAGAAGGUUCCGAAGUCAUGCCUUUGCCUUACUGUUGUGCUGAUACUGGAUGCAACAUUGUGGACCUCUGGUUCGAGCAUGGCCAGCAUGGCCACGGAUUGUAGGGGAGGAAUGUAUUGCCUAAUGAGUUGUAUGCUUUCUUUAGAUCCUCUGUGCUCCCUAUCACAUCUGGCUUGGCCACCUACAAAUUCUUGGGUCCACGUAUAUAUACUUUGGUUUUCUGAAAGUGGAUUGCAUUUGCUUCCUGGUCACAUUGAAACAAGGGUGGAAACAACCAUCGUCCGCCGACCAUUCUUCCUCCCUCAGGUUCCUGAUCUGAAGCGGAGGAACACGAGGUCGCAUCCAUUAAGUGUCAGAAAGGGGUUGCAAUGA
rnacentral:rRNA from 1 species